rnacentral:sRNA from 1 species
GUCCCCGAAAAAGACGGGACCAGGCUUGGACACCUGAAUACUCAAAGCGCACAGACCGCGCCAUGCGGUUUUUUU